UCUCCUUACGGGGGAGACAGUCAUGAGACGUGAGUAUAAGACCUGAGUGUAAAGACCUUAGGGUGAAGCAAUUGGAGGGCAAGCUUUGGUGCCAGCAGCCGCGGUAACUCCAACUCCAAGAGUGUCUAUGGUGGAUGCUGCAGUUAAAGGGUCCGUAGUCGUGAAUGCAAUUAAAUGUCGUUGUUCAAUAGCGAUGAGUUUGCUAAUGUUUGCGGAACGGAUAGGGAGUGUAGUAUAGACUGGCGAAGAAUGAAAUCUCAAGACCCAGUUUGGACUAACGGAGGCGAAGGCGACACUCUUAGACGUAUCUUAGGAUCAAGGACGAAGGCAGGAGUAUCGAAAGUGAUUAGACACCGCUGUAGUUCCUGCAGUAAACUAUGCCGACAGCCUGUGUGUGAGAAUACGUGGGCGGGAGAAAUCUUAGUGUUCGGGCUCUGGGGAUAGUACGCUCGCAAGGGUGAAACUUAAAGCGAAAUUGACGGAAGGACACUACCAGGAGUGGAUUGUGCUGCUUAAUUUAACUCAACGCGGGAAAACUUACCAGGGUCAAGUCAUUCGUUGAUCGAAUACGUGAGAAUGGCAGGAGUGGUGCGUGG
rnacentral:rRNA from 1 species